rnacentral:rRNA from 1 species
CACGUAGGGGCCAAGCGUUGUCCGGAUUUAUUGGGCGUAAAGAGCUCGUAGGCGGUUGGGUAAGUCGGGUGUGAAAUCUCCAGGCUCAACCUGGAGAGGUCACUCGAGACUGUUAUGACUAGAGUCCGGUAGGGGACCACGGAAUUCCUGGUGUAGCGGUGAAAUGCGUAGAUAUCAGGAGGAACACCUGUGGCGAAGGCGUCCAUCUGGCCCGUUACUGACGCUGAUGCGCGAAAGCUAGGGGAGCAAACGGG